CUACGGGUUGCUGCAGUAGGGAAUUUUCGUCAAUGGGGGGAACCCUGAACGAGCAAUGCCGCGUGAAUGAAGACGGUCUUCGGAUUGUAAAGUUCUUUUAUUAGAGAAGAAAGGUGUUAGUAGGAAAUGACUAGCAUUUGACGGUAACUAUUGAAUAAGCCCCGGCUAACUACGUGCCAGCAGCCGCGGUAAUACGUAGGGGGCGAGCGUUAUCCGGAAUUAUUGGGCGUAAAGCGUGCGUAGGGCGGUUUGUUAAGUCACUUGUAAAAGAUCUCAGCCCAACUGAGUAGGGCGAGUGAAACUGGCAGACUUGAAUACGGUAGAGGUAAGUGGAAUUCCAUGUGUAGCGGUGGAAUGCGUAGAUAUAUGGAGGAACACCAAUGGCGAAGGCAACUUACUGGGCCGGAAUUGACGCUGAGGCACGAAAGCGUGGGGAGCAAACAGGAUUAGAUACCCCCGUAGUC
rnacentral:rRNA from 1 species